rnacentral:tRNA from 1 species
UGGGCUAUGGUGUAAUUGGCAACACGUCGGUUUCUGGUACCGUUGUUCUAGGUUCGAGUCCUAGUAGCCCAG